AGCCCACCCCUUCCCAUCCUUCAAAACCCAGACAAAGGCUAAAGCAACUCCUCCCGCGCCCCUCCUUUUCUCUCCACCCACACAAACACGUACACACGCAUGUGCCAUCUACCCCAAACCCUUGCUCUGAAGUCACAGGCCUGACUUCCAGACUAGGCUCUGCCCCUAAGGAAAUCACCUUUCUGGUCUUAGUCUCCCCAUCUGAAAAUGGCAUAACCAACCUACCUGCCUCAAAUACAAGACCCUGCUUGUGAAGCGCCCACGCAACGACUACGCACCCGAACCCUGCCUCCGGCACCCUUGGCCACACUCGCCACACUUACACGCGCGCACUUCUCCAGAGGACGCACGAUGGGAAAGAGAGAGUUGGGACCCGCAGGAGGGGGCAGGGCACUGACCCGGUGCCGCCCAGCAGGGCAGCGUCUCCUGGCUCAGACCAGUGCUAGAAGUGUCCAGUCUAGCAGCUCCUGGACCAAGACUCCGUGGCCAUUCCCUUCCUCCUGCCUUCCAUCCACCCCCUUACGAUACAGAAGUUGAGAUACAGAGAGGUGAAGGAACUUGUCCCAGGCCCUACAGCUAAGACAAGGUCUCACACUGUCCAGAGGCUGAAGCACAGUAGUGCAGUCAUGACUCACUAAGCUCAAGAUCAAAAAAAAAAAAAGAGAGAGAGAAAAUUCAUUACCAGUGGACGUUCUGUAAGCAGAAGAAAUAUGAUACCUGAGAGAAACUUGGAUCUACAUAAAGAAAUGAUGAUCUCUGGAAACAGAUAGAAUAAAGAAAUGACGUUAAACAAAAUAACAUUAUUUGAGGACCUGCUGUACCGUGAAAGAAUGGCUAAAGGAAGUUCUCCAAACAUAAAGGAAAUGAUGAAAGAAGAAAACCCGAAACAUCAGGAGUGAAGAAAGAACAAUGGAAAUAAUAAAAAUAUGGGUAAAUAUGAUGGGCUAUCCUUCUUCACUUGCAUUUUCUAAAUUAUGUUUGAUGGCUAAAACAGAAAUUAUAUAACAUGGUCUGAUGUGGAU
rnacentral:lncRNA from 1 species